rnacentral:rRNA from 1 species
AGAGUUUGAUCAUGGCUCAGGAUGAACGCUAGCUAUAGGCUUAACACAUGCAAGUCGAGGGGAAACGGCAGAGAGUGCUUGCACACUUUGGACGUCGACCGGCGCACGGGUGAGUAACGCGUAUCCAACCUGCCCUUUACUUGGGGAUAACCCGUUGAAAGACGGACUAAUACCCAAUGAUAUUCAUUGAUGACAUCUGAUUUGAAUUAAAGAUUUAUCGGUAUAGGAUGGGGAUGCGUCUGAUUAG